AGAGUUUGAUCCUGGCUCAGGAUGAACGCUGGCGGCGUGCCUAACACAUGCAAGUCGAACGGAAUUUACAUGAAGCCUAGCGAUUGUAAAUUUAGUGGCGGACGGGUGAGUAACGCGUGGGUAACCUGCCUUGUACUGGGGGACAACAGUUGGAAACGACUGCUAAUACCGCAUAAGCGCACGGCUUCGCAUGAAGCAGUGUGAAAAACUCCGGUGGUACAAGAUGGACCCGCGUCUGAUUAGCUGGUUGGNGAGGUAACGGCCACAAGGCGACGAUCAGUAGCCGGCUGAGAGGGUGAACGGCCACAUUGGGACUGAGACACGGCCCAAACUCCUACGGGAGGCA
rnacentral:rRNA from 1 species